AGCUUCCCCUGGACAAGUGACUGGCCCCAUCUUUGGACUGGAGCGCUGCUUCUGUGCCCCACCGUGACUGGCCCCCUCCUUUAACAUUUAUUUACUUGACAGGACAGAAAGAAGUGAGAGAAGAGGGAGCCGGGCUGUGGUGGAGUGGAUAAACCAUCGGACUCUCAAGCAUGAGGUUCUGAGUUCAACUCCUGGCAGCACAUGUACCAGAGUGAUGUCUGGUUCUUUCUCUCUCUCCUAUCUUUCUCAUGGAUAAAUAAAUCAAUUCUUUAACAAGAGAAGAAA